AAAUAACCGAAUUAUAUAUGUAUUAUUUUUAAAUUAUAAUAUAUAUGUAUAAUAUAGAAAUAGUUUAUGGAAUAAUAUAACAUACUUACCCAGAGAGUCUCAUACCAACACAUUUCUAACCUAAUUCCACGCAUCCGCCUCUCCCCUGGUACUCAGUCACUAGCUGCCGCUCGCCGAUUUCAAGAAUCCAUGUCUAGUAUUUAAGACUCAAAUCAAAGAUUCAAAGAUGGUGGCCGCAUAGCAGAUCCUGUUUUUGCUUGUUUUUCAGGAAAAUUCGGUUUUCUCAUAACCGAAACCGAAUUAACCGAAUUAUUUCGGUUCGGUUUCGGUUCGGUUUAAUAGAUAAUUCGGUUCGGUUCCGUUUAAUAAAAAAGUUACAUUUCGGUUUUCGGUUAUUUCGGUUCGGUUUUAGACCGAACCGACCGAAUGCUCAGCCUAAUUUUAGUAUUUUACAUAAACAAACUUGAUACUAUUUUAAGUAGCCAUAUGGCUAGUAAGGCAGUUGUUCUUACCACACCAUUUACACUUCUACGAUCAACUGUUCUAAUUUCUAGCUAAAACAACCUAAAGCAAGGUCAGAGGUUUUACGGUCUCCCAGAUUCGACAUCAACAUCUUGCAGCAGCGGCGGUGAGUUUAAAUUGUGACCUAGAGAUUUCAACAUAAGGUUAUUGUUAUUUCUCACAGCUUCGACAUCUCUCAGUGGUGGUUGCUGUGAAUUUGUGCGCAACUCUUCUAAUGCUUGAAAAUGUGCAUAAGGGCUCCACCCUGAAACAAUAUAAACGAAAUAUCACAUUGGAUGUUAAGCUUGUAGGCAGGUGAUAAUGACAAAGUAAACUAAACAUAAAUACGCAAGGCAUAGUAAUAUAUAUAU